rnacentral:lncRNA from 1 species
AAAGAGAUUUGUAGUCCUUUUAUUCUUUUCACACCAUGGCUGCCCAAAACGGAAUAAAGUCUUGCUACAAAUGCCAGUAACCCUGGCUCCAGAGCUGCCGCUCCACUGAAUUGAUUUCAUUUGUCCUACUAAUGGCAUUCUAUAUUAAGCAUACAGAGGGUCACCCUGGCUUGGUGUAGGUCCUCCCAUUUUUAGGCUUAAGGUUUUGCAGAGAUAAAAAAAAAAAAAAAAAAAAAAAAAGAAAAAGAAAAAGAAAAAAAAUCCUAUUUUGUCUUUGUUGCCAGAAAUCAGUGUGGUGUCAAACACUCCAAAUGACUGUCAAGUAUAAAUUCUUCUUCCACUUCAUUUUUGGCAGCUGUUUGUUAAGGCAUCUAAUAACAGAUGUGAGAACUGUAAUGUGUACAAUGUGUAUGUGUCCUUGGCUGUCAGUCCCAUUGCAGUUUCAAUGUGUGUUUCUAUAUGCAGUAUAUACUAAGCUAAUGUAGUUGUUUUGUCCUUUGUCUUAUCUGUGCUCUAUCUCUAGUCCGGAGUGGUACAGUCCCAUUCCUGCAGUCCUAGUGAAUCAGUGAUUCUUGGGGGUUAGUGGGUUUUGUGUGGUGGCCUUCCUCUGUAAUGUCACCCUAUGCUGCUUCUACUGUCUGUGAAUCUUCCGUUUUACCUUUUAAAAUUCCUGCUGUUGCUUUGCUGGUGUAUAUUCUCCCUACCUCUCCUCUCUUUCCCUCCCUUUCCCAUCUCCCCCUCUCCCUCCUCUUCAUUCCUUCCCCAUCCCCAAAAUCUCUUUCAUUCUCAGAGAUAAAAAGACUCUUAACUAGCUCAAGGUUAAUGGAGCCAUUUUUCCCACAACGGAAUUCUGGGUAUGACUCUGUCUUCUGGAGUGCAACACAAAGCACUGAAGAAUAAUGCUCAGAUAUAUUAAAUAAAUUGAUGCCAUAUAGCCUCAGUUGUUAACAUUCCCAGAGUCCCUUGUGCUCUACCUAUAAGCAGUGGGUGCUUUUCUUUGGUUUCCUUUCAGGUUGGCUGAUGGAGCAAUAUAUAAAGCAAUUACCAGUGAGACAGAAAAUUCUUUCAAAGGUCAACCAACAUUUUUAAGAAACAAAAUGGGAGGGGAUAAUGGAAUCUAGAAUUGUCAUAUAUAUUUGUUUACUUGUGCAAUGCUAAUAUAGUAACUCGGCUGUCCUUUGAAUAUCACUGUGUUGAGUAGAUUCCUCUAGGACCUUUGAUUUCAUGAGUUGGGCCCAAACCGUGGUGGAAUAAUAACAAAAAGAAGUUAAAUGCCACAAAUUUUAAUAGUGAGCUUACUUGAAGGAUUUAAGUAGGUUUAGGAGGUGAAGAAGGCCGAUGGAGAAAUUUACAGAUUAAUUUUGGAAGCUCUACUCUAGCUAUCGAACAAUCAAAGGAAUGCACCUAUCAGCUACAAAGAACAGCUAGACAGCUGUUUUUUUUCUUUUAUAAAUGUUUCUGUGUUGUGUCAAAAUGAUUUCUGGUGAUUUAAACUAACAGAUAAUCACAGCUGCUGUCUAAAUUCAUAGUGUUGAAAAUUACAAAAUGAAAAAAAAAAAAAAAACACUUCAUUACCUGUGAAGACUGUGUCUGUGUUUUUAACUAUUUCUUGUACAAAUAUAUGAAAACUUUUAUGAGGAGACUGGUGCCAAGUAGCUGAAUAAUGGGGAAAGGGAUAUUCUGUUCGUAAAAAUCUUAGCAGUGUUACCAACUCUACGAUAUAUAUAUAAAAAAAUAAUUAAAACGUUACAAAGCGACAGCUAUGGUACAUUUGUUUUGUGUGAAGCUAACCGGACCUAACUUCCUGAGUGCCUGGCUUAUUUUGAAACAUUUUUUUUCAUUGACCAUUGAUAAUGCUGCAAAUCAGAAAUGUACAUACUUCAUUUACAACAGGGUUCUUUUUAUACUUUUGUAGAUUCUCAUACAUGUCACAUACAUGGUUGUCUUUAUGUAACUUAAUUUUUUCAUCCGCAGGUGCCAUUUUCAUAAUAAACUUCUCUUGGAUUUGUUACUAUCUGGCAUCAUUUCUUUUACAUGUAACCAUCCUGACUAAUGAAUGCUGGUAGUAUUUGUUUAAGC